rnacentral:lncRNA from 1 species
ACUAACCCUGAUUACAUGACUCUGUCUACAAAUCAUCAAACAAGGCCUGCACAUCCUCAACUAAUAAAAAUCUAAUGACUAGCUGCUUGUAUAUACAACUAUUGUUUGUUAAUAAGAAGUUAUCUACAGACUCCAUUUUUCUACUACCUUCAAAACAUCAGCUCAAUUUUCUCUUUCUCCUGUACAUUACAGAAAAAGACAUUGGUCUACACUGCCAGUCAUUCCCUUUAAUCCUGUCAAGUGCAGUCAAAAUGAGGGGCUUAAGAUCACAUCCUGGCUAUUGGUGUGGCUAGCCCUGCUGAAGGUACUCUAUUUACCUGUUUACCUGACUCAGCCCUCGUCUGCCUUUUUUGACACGUUGCAAUCAGACUGGCUGUGCUUGAGAAGACUACAACUGGUAUCAGCCUAUCUUACACCCAGUUCCACCAGGGAAUUUUGAACAGAAGCAACCUGCACCUCACCUCCCCCCCAGCCCCCAGGACUUACUGUUCAUAACUGGAAGGACCAUGCUAUGUACUCCUUGACCAGCAGCCUUUUUGUUUGUUCGUUUUGUUUUGUUUUUAAUGCAGAGUAAGCCUCUAUGCCUAUAUAUAUUUGAUCAUUUUCAGCACCUGAGAUCCUUUCCACCCAAUCUGAAGGAGUACAGCAGAUUACAAGCUCUGUCCAUUCCUCUCUUCUGCAAUAAUACAGAGAUGACAGAAAUGUUCCUGUUCAACUUGGCGAAAGACUAAAGAAACACAAGAGCUUUCCACUGAACUUAAAAUUUACCACUGACUUCAGUAGUCUCACAGAACUAUUUGCCAGUGGGAGGCUAGUUGUCCUGCUUCAUGUCAGCAAGAUGGUUGGGCUGUCAGAUUCAUGGCCACUGAGUUUUACUUUUAUUGAAACUUUAUUGCAUCAUCCAAAGUAUGCUAUUGGAUAUGAUUAUUCCAUUCAAAUGGAUUACAAGCUUCCUGAGUACAGGACAAACUUACUCAUGACGUUUUUUCAGAAUUCUUUUAUUGUCAAGAAAGUAACAAUGCCAGCUGUUACUGAACACAGACUAAACUUUUUUAGUAUCUGGUCUUAUCAUUGGCAUCAGUUGUUUUUGAUUGACCAGCAUUCAUUCCAUCUCAUUGUAACAACUCUGAUGUUUCUUGGAACCACUUCCCUGUUUCUAGUCCACAUGGUUCAAACAGUCUGGAGUUGGUGGGAGGGAGGGAGAGGAUGAUAGGAGGACCAUCAAGCCCACUUCACUCUUACCACAAAGAUUUCCUGACACGGUCAAAAGAUAAUGACUACAGUCCUCAAGAUGGUGUUAACUUCUGUCCCAUCUUCAGAACACAUUGCCUGUAGCGUACUGUGAAUUAACAUGUUUAAAUCCUUUGGUUGCAUUGUGACCAGCACAAUUAUGCUGAAGUAUAUUGUUGUGUGUAUGUUACAAAAUUCAUUUUACAAUGUGAUCAGUUAUACCACAAAUUUUGAAAAGUUUAUGACAAAACAAGCAUGAAAUUAGAGUCCAAGGCCACCCACACAUAUCUGCCACCAUCACCACUGAGCUGAGACAGCCCAGAAAGCCAUCCCAAAGGCAGGGCUCAGCUGGGGUCUCCAUGAAAGGCAGCCUGUGGCAGGAGACGAUCAAACCUCCUGUGGUCCCUACAGAGGAUCUAAGUAAUUACAUGGCUUCUUCCUAUCACUCCCUGCCCCAAAGCAAAACCCCUAGCCACUCUGAGAUAUUUCAUUUUCUCUAAUGAUGGGAAAUCUUUCAGUAAUCAAAAGUAAAUGUGGAAAAUUUCAAGAAACCUCAAGUCUAUAAAAGCAGGCAUCCUUGGCCUUGGCUGACAAGCAAGUUGAUACCAAGUUUUUUUUAGCGCUUCGCCAAAUGGAUUGCUGUUUCCUCGGGCCUUGGGCACCCAAAAAGGGAACGAGGGCUCAGGCUAUAUUUAUGGCUCUUUGCCUAGAUACCUCUCCCAGUCCCCUCUUUUAAGCAAAGAGCCCCACUCUAAUCAUAUUUUGUCCUCCAGAGCCAGACCUUGCCUAUUUGGACCUGUUUUAUGAUAAGUAGGUACUUUUGGCUUUACUUUCUGUGCUUGUCCUUGGGCCUAAGGGGGAGAAGCAGAACCUGCUUGUUCCCCCUCCCUUGCUUCUCUCAUUCUGGUCUUUCUUCCACUUAGAAAAUUUGAGUCAAGUUUCCAUGUUCCUCACAUAUGGGCCUCUCAAGAAACCAACUUCCUUUUACACAUCUCUGUGUACCAAGUUGAUAUGGAGAAGAUCCUCACAUACUCUCCCCAACUCUGGUUCUCCCCCUUUUCCUAAUCCUAUUGUGUCCACCUUCUAUCCCUACCUUGUGAAAUUUUUUAUGGAGGAAGGUGCUCAAGAUAUAUAGAGACAUAAGAAAAAUGGCUGUAAGAAAUUUGAAAACUAUAUGCAGGUUACUACUAUGAACUUGAGUCAAAAUGUGGUGUUACAGGUCCAGUUACAUAAUUUGUGGACCCCAGUGCAAAAUGAAAAGACAAAGGCCCUUGUUCAAAAAUUACUAAGAAUUUCAAGAUGGCUCAGGGUGCCUAGGUAGCUCAGUUGGGUAAAGCAUCUGACUCUUGAUUUCAGCUCAGGUAAUGAUCUCACAGUUUGUGAGUUUGAGCCCCAUGUUGGGCUCUACACUGACAGCACAGAGCCUGCUUGGGAUUCUCUCCCUCUCUCUCUGUCCCUCCCCCCCCACCAAAAAUAAAUAAAUAAAUAAACAUUUUUUAAGAAAAAGA